GAUUUCAAAAGUCCUGUGGCGCAGUGGUAGCGCGUCGUUCUUAUACUCGCCGUCACGUGAUGGAGUGUAUGACUCUUCAUUCAAGUAAUGCGAAUGUCGUGGGUUCGAGUACGUGUGAAAUCC